AUUGAACGCUGGCGGCAUGCCUUACACAUGCAAGUCGAACGGCAGCACGGGAGCAAUCCUGGUGGCGAGUGGCGGACGGGUGAGUAAUAUAUCGGAACGUGCCCAGUCGUGGGGGAUAACGCAGCGAAAGCUGUGCUAAUACCGCAUACGAUCUAAGGAUGAAAGCGGGGGAUCGCAAGACCUCGCGCGAUUGGAGCGGCCGAUAUCAGAUUAGCUAGUUGGUGGGGUAAAGGCCCACCAAGGCGACGAUCUGUAGCUGGUCUGAGAGGACGACCAGCCACACUGGAACUGAGACACGGUCCAGACUCCUACGGGAGGCAGCAGUGGGGAAUUUUGGACAAUGGGCGCAAGCCUGAUCCAGCAAUGCCGCGUGCAGGAUGAAGGCCUUCGGGUUGUGAACUGCUUUUGUACGGAACGAAACGGCCCUUUCUAAUACAGGGGGCUAAUGACGGUACCGUAAGAAUAAGCACCGGCUAACUACGUGCCAGCCGCCGCCGUAA
rnacentral:rRNA from 1 species